GUGGACUGAUUUCCUUCGUCAGGAAAGCCUAAAAAGGUAUUUGUAAACCACCUGUCCUUGUCCUGCAUCCAUGUGAGCUUAGAAGUGGUUCCUUUUCCAGCUGAGCCUUCAGAUGAGGCCACAGACCCUGAACGGACAGCUUGCUUGCAGCUGGACCCACAGAAACUGUGGGGAACUUUCUCCCAACUCCGGUGAUCACACGUAGACGCAGAGCAUGUAAUUGCUCCUGAAGACAAAACCAAAGCUUGGCAAUUUUAGCUCAUUAAAAAUAAGUGUGUUGUGAUAUUUAGUGAUUCUUUCAGAAGACAGUUCUUAUCUAAAAUAGUAAUUGUGAGCUAAAUUUUGAAAACAAUCCCUUUCCUGAUGCAAAAUCUUGUCGUGAGUUAUUUGAGGUCAAGAGAAAGGUAAGAAAUGUACCAACUGGAACAUAGAGCCUCAAGGCAUGAUAAACUGGCAUUUAACUGAAACCUUUCUUUUUCCCUGCUAGCAAUUCUCCAUCAGUUAAAAAAAUAAAGAAAUCAAGAAAGUUCAAAUAAAUAAUCAACUGUUCUUAAGGUGCUUUUAGAAAACAUAUGAUUUAUCUAACACCUGUGUAGGCCAUUUAAUGAACGUAUUAAUCUUCUGUGCUUAUCACAAGUUGGGUUUUAAUAAUUAAAUAGCAUCUUUACUAUUUACAUGUCCAAAAAGACAAAUCCAAAAAUGUAUUUAAUUAUUUAUUUUUCUACUUUUCUGUGUUUUCAAUAGUUUAUUUCUAUAUGAUUAAAUGAUUUGUGUAUCUGCCUAUGUACUAAGACAUGUUUACACACACCGUGGAAAGAAGAAAGUUAAUGGCUGUCCAUUUGUUCUAGAUCAAUUAGCAUUGCAUUUAAGUAUCGCUUUUCUGAUAUCUAGACAAAAAGGGAACUAUAGAAUUAUCUCCAUCUAGUAGGAAUUCUUGAAGAACAGGAAGCAUAUUUUCAUGGUUAUAGCCCCAGUAGGCCAGGAUUUUUGCCAAAUAAGGGAAUGAAUGAAUGAAUGAGCAUAUCUCUGAUUUCCUAUGCUGAAGCUGUGCUACUGUCUCCAAGUUUUGACUUCUCUUAAGCUUUUGAAAACUCAGCAGAUUGGAUAACCAAACUCCAACUGUUCAGACAUGAAAAAUCAAGGGUAAAUGAGCAGCCAUACAAAAUUUAAAGACAGAAAUUUAUUUUAGGGCAUGCUGUUAUAAUUCCUCAAUUGAUGUCAAGGUUACGUUGGGAAGCAACAUUUUUCUUUAUAACCUCACCAAUUUGGUAACAUGUAUUUUGGACUCAGUAAAAUAGGAGGGUCAGCCUCUGUUCAAUGGGAGAGAAAAUUUAACCUGUUCCAAAUACACAGCUUUAAGAUGGGGAUAUUUAAAAUAGCAAGUAAUACCAUUUAUUAAGCUCCACCCGGUGCCAGAGAACCAAAAGGUUUAUGCUGAUGUAUCUAUUUAAUCUUCAUAGCAAUUUGAGAAGUAAAUACUGUUAUAUCUGUUUCAAACAUGAAGAGACUAAAAUCAGAGCGUUUGAGUAAAUUACUCAAUAUCAAACAACUGGUAAGAACCUGAACACAAGUUGAUUUCAAUGCAAAGCUCUCUCAGAUCCAAAACUAAUUACUGAGUUUCCUUGACUGAAAAAUGCUACUGACAGUGAGAUUGAGGAUGAGCAUUUAGGGGAGAAGGGACCAAAACAUUCAAUGCAAACACAAAUAAUGUCACUGAUUGAUGGUAAUAAUAUACAUUUAGUCUUACAAGUAGGUAACUUCCUCCUAUAGAAUCACAUACACAAAAAAAACAAUGUGUAAACUUCUUGCACAUUGAAAAUGUCAAAGUCGUUUUGAAUCAGUUGUGUCCAUUGACAGUUAAACAGUAUCGUGAUAAUUAACUGAUUUUCAUAAUUUUCACUCUUGGUCUCUUUGACACUAAUAUUAAAAGUACCAAUAUAAUCACUAAGGUUUAUUGCA